rnacentral:rRNA from 1 species
GCUCAAGAUUAAGCCAUGCAUGUCUAAGUAUAAGCAAUCAUACUGUGAAACUGCGAAUGGCUCAUUAAAUCAGUUAUCGUUUAUUUGAUAGUACCUUUACCUGGAUAACCGUGGUAAUUCUAGAGCUAAUACAUGCUAAAAACCCCGACUUCGGGAGGGGUGUAUUUAUUAGAUAAAAAACCAAUGCCCUCUGGGCUCCUUGGUGAUUCAUAAUAACUUAACGAAUCGCAUGGCCUUGCGCCGGCGAUGGUUCAUUCAAAUUUCUGCCCUAUCAACUUUCGAUUGUAAGAUAGAGGCUUACAAUGGUCUUAACGGGUAACGGGGAAUUAGGGUUCUAUUCCGGAGAGGGAGCCUGAGAAACGGCUACCACAUCCAAGGAAGGCAGCAGGCGCGCAAAUUACCCAAUGCUAAUUCAGCGAGGUAGUGACAAUAAAUACUGAUACGGGGCUCUUUCGGGUCUCGUAAUUGGAAUGAGUACAAUCUAAAUCCCUUAACGAGGAACAAUUGGAGGGCA